GCCUAACUCAGUUGGUUACAGCAUAGUGCUGAUAACGCCAAGGUUGUAGGUUCGAUCCCUGGAGGGGGCA